rnacentral:rRNA from 1 species
CACGUAGUUAGCCGUCCCUUUCUGGUAAGCUACCGUCACAGUGUGAACUUUCCACUCUCACACCCGUUCUUGACUUACAACAGAGCUUUACGAUCCGAAAACCUUCUUCACUCACGCGGCGUUGCUCGGUCAGGGUUGCCCCAUUGCCGAAGAUUCCCUACUGCUGCCUCCCGUAGGAGUCUGGGCCGUGUCUCAGUCCCAGUGUGGCCGAUCACCCUCUCAGGUCGGCUAUGUAUCGUCGCCUAGGUGAGCCAUUACCUCACCUACUAGCUAAUACAACGCAGGUCCAUCUUGUAGUGGAGCAAUUGCCCCUUUCAAAUAAAUGACAUGUGUCAUCCAUUGUUAUGCGGUAUUAGCUAUCGUUUCCAAUAGUUAUCCCCCGCUACAAGGCAGGUUACCUACGCGUUACUCACCCGUUCGCAACUCAUCCAAGAAGAGCAAGCUCCUCUCUUCAGCGUUCUACUUGCAUGUAUUAGGCACGCCGCCAGCGUCG